CACUCCCCACUCACUCCUCCACCUUAUCUACACCCUCAUAACUCUCUCCUACCUCUCCCCCACGAAAAUGGUGCUCAUCCUAGCUCCAUGGCCGGCCAUGGCCAUGGAAAGCCACCAAGAUGAAGCUCUCCCCCUCCCUCAAGCUUCCCCUCACCAUGAGAGCAUCCCUCUCACUCUCUUCUCCCCUAAUCUUUGAUGAAUCCAGCCCUAUUUCUCCUUUCUCCUCUCACAAUAUUGGAUCUUGAUGCAGGUGCAUGUUGGUCCAAGCAUGGAGAAGCUUGAGCUAUCCUCAGAUCUGAAGUUCUAGAGCAAAAUCCAAAUCGAGUGAUUCAAAGUUCCACAGAUAGGUAUUGAAAAGAUCUACAACUUGGCGUUGGUAUCAUCCUCAAAUUCGUUACGGAUUUUGCACGAUCAAUAUCUGGUCAGAUCUGACUUUGCCGAAUUAAACCAGGAGAUUGGAAACGAAUUCUUGAAUGAAACCAACUGGGGGAUAUUUGGUUUAUACCAUGGUGAUAACCGAGAGAGGCAAUUGCUAAGUUGUGAUGCACUCAUACCUUUACUAGAUGCGAACAAUUCCGGAGAAGAAGAAGAAGUGGAAUCGGACGAGGAUUUUAUUUAUGUUGUUGGGAUUCUUAUAUUGAUGGAGUUGAAGAAGUCCAGGGACAAAUAAGCCAAGGCAAGCCAUCUUUUGAUCUCUGAUUCGGUGUCUAGUUGGAUGUCAUUUGUUGAUGUCCAAAGCACCUUAAUUCUAUGUGUGCUAUUCUCUCUAUUUAUGUCAUCUAUGUGUGAUUGCAAGUGGGGUACUCCC